UACAGAGGGGGCGAGCGUUGUUCGGAAUUACUGGGCGUAAAGGGCGCGUAGGCGGCCAACUAAGUCAGACGUGAAAUCCCUCGGCUCAACCGGGGAGCUGCGUCUGAUACUGGAUGGCUUGAAUUCGGGAGAGGGAUGCGGAAUUCCAGGUGUAGCGGUGAAAUGCGUAGAUAUCUGGAGGAACACCGGUGGCGAAGGCGGCAUCCUGGACCGAGAUUGACGCUGAUGCGCGAAAGCCAGGGGAGCAAACGGG
rnacentral:rRNA from 1 species